UUCACUGACAGGCCUCACGUCAGCUCUUAGCACUGCUUGAGACAGGUAUCACACACUGUACGUGUUAUACUUGUGUGUGAGUGUGUGUGCAUGUGUGAAUGUUUGAUUUCUAUUGUCAACAUUUUAAAGGUAAAAAUGUAUUGCCAAGUACUUAUCCUCUGUUUACUCUUAUGUUACUGAGCUGCACUUUUUAAUCAUUUCUUUUUAUGUUUAUUGUCAAACACAAUAUAUGGAAAUGAAUAUGUCACUUUGAUUCUUCAACGCCAGCAGUUUAAGCAGUUAUCAGAAAGCGGCUCAUUUAAAAUUCACCUUGUCUCGUCAGUUUUCAUUGUGAGUGUGUUCUGGGUGACGUCGCCCAUCAGCAGCCUGUCGUAUACAGAUGUAGCUGCUGAAUUCUGCGCUGCUUCUCUCGGCAUCGUAUUCCUUGGCAGCAGCGUUUGGUGGAUUUGGAACCAGGCUGUAUGUUGUGGUGUGAGUCCAUCCAUCAGCAGGAAGGUUGUGUUGCAUCAUGUCGAUGCAGUCCUCUCAGUCCACUCCUGUAUCUGUACGUUAGUGUCUGAUGCACAUUCUAGCUCAGUCAAAUCACCAGAUGUCUUUCAGUCGUCCAAAAAAACACAAUCAGUGUUGCUUAUUAAUGCGUCUCAACACUUAACUGCCAGUUUAUUAGGUACACCGAGUUAAAACUGGUCAAAUCUGACAAACAUGAAGGUUCUGAUGUUCAGUUUUCACUGAAACUGGUUUAUAAAAGUGUUGAUUCAGCUGUAUGAUGAUGUGGAGGUUGCACAGAGAGACAACUGAAUCAACACCUUUCUAAAACAGUUUUAAAAAAUGAACCUCCGUUUUGAGAGUAAAAUUUGAUUCUUGAACAUUGUUAGUCACAAUAACCAUAACUCAAGCUACACUUACUGCCUGUUUUUGUUAAGCUUCUCACCAGGGCUGUCAGAUGCAGUGGAAAACUAGUGAGUGGGCCUUGAGUCACUGACUAGAUUUUUUUGGUCACUUACUGUAUUAACAGUUCUGUACUUCUUUUAUUCAGCGUCCCUCAGUCACAGAUGUUUCCUUACAGCGGACUACACAGGGUUACAUUAGUGCACAGAUUCAGUGUCCUCACAUAAACCUUCUCUCUGUUUACUGGGUGUAAUGCACAGUUGUUAAGGUGCCGUGAGUAAGUGUAAAGUCACUGUCACACAGCUUCAUGUUGCUGCAGUAAGGAUCAUUGUUUUUUGAGAUUGUUGCUGAUAUAUUUUCACGGGAUUUCACUGCAGCCUGUGAUGUUGUGUGCACAUGAUAUUUCAUAAGACAUGUUCAGAAUAUAACACCAAAACCAUACAUGGUUUAAUUUAUUUAACCACGACCUUUAGCUUUGCUAAACCAUCAUUCUGUUUAUUCUGAGAUAAACUCUGACCUGGUUCACAGCACUGCUUCUGGGACAAUUUUCAUUAAUGAUCUCUGUUAACAGCCAUUCAUAGUCAAAGCAGUGCUGACUGGAGGCUGACUGUAAAUGAACUGAUGAUGCUGGUGUGCUAAGAGGUUGAAAUGUUGGAGUAAAAUAUAGCUUUAAAUCUCCUUUGCCAAGCACUUCUGUCAACGAUCCACCUGUUCAUGAAUGGUAACUGUUAUGGAUACCCUAUCUUUGUCACUAUAUGAGUCAUGUUGUUUUAACUGGCAGCAGGACAAUCUUGCCGUGACCUGUUGUAUGAAUGAUGAUAUAAUGUUUGCAGAACUUGCACUAAAUGUUGGGUAGACAGACGUAUUCAAGCUUUGAAUACAGAAAAUGAUAUCUCA